rnacentral:rRNA from 1 species
GCAUGUCUAAGUAUAAGCAAUUAUACCGCGAAACUGCGAAUGGCUCAUUAUAUAAGUUAUCGUUUAUUUGAUAAUACUUUACUACUUGGAUAACCGUGGUAAUUCUAGAGCUAAUACAUGCUAAAAAUCCCGACUUCGGAAGGGUUGUAUUUAUUAGAUUAAAAACCAAUGCCCCUCGGGGCUCUCUGGUGAAUCAUGAUAACUAGUCGAAUCGACAGGCCUUGUGCCGGCGAUGGCUCAUUCAAAUUUCUUCCCUAUCAACUUUCGAUGUUUGGGUAUUGUCCAAACAUGGUGGCAACGGGUAACGGAGGGUUAGGGCUCGACCCCGGAGAAGGAGCCUGAGAAACGGCUACUACAUCCAAGGAAGGCAGCAGGCGCGCAAAUUACCCAAUCCCGACACGGGGAGGUAGUGACAAUAAAUACUGAUACAGGGCUCUUUUGGGUCUUGUAAUCGGAAUGAGUACAAUUUAAAUCCCUUAACGAGGAACAAUUGGAGGGCAAGUCUGGUGCCAGCAGCCGCGGUAAUUCCAGCUCCAAUAGCGUAUAUUAAAGUUGUUGUGGUUAAAAAGCUCGUAGUUGAACCUUGGGCCUGGCUGGCCGGUCCGCCUCACCGCGUGCACUGGUCCGGCCGGGCCUUUCCCUCUGCGGAACCCCAUGCCCUUCACUGGGUGUGGCGGGGAAACAGGACUUUUACUUUGAAAAAAUUAGAGUGCUCAAGGCAGGCCUAUGCUCGAAUACAUUAGCAUGGAAUAAUAGAAUAGGACGUGUGGUUCUAUUUUGUUGGUUUCUAGGACCGCCGUAAUGAUUAAUAGGGACAGUCGGGGGCAUCAGUAUUCAAUUGUCAGAGGUGAAAUUCUUGGAUUUAUUGAAGACUAACUACUGCGAAAGCAUUUGCCAAGGAUGUUUUCAUUAAUCAGGAACGAAAGUUAGGGGAUCGAAGACGAUCAGAUACCGUCGUAGUCUUAACCAUAAACUAUGCCGACUAGGGAUCGGACGAUGUUACAUUUUUGACGCGUUCGGCACCUUACGAGAAAU